GGAGUGAUGCUCGAGGGGUUGAAGAGGCACGCCUGGAAAGCGUGUAUACGUCAAAAGCGUAUCGGGGGUUCGAAUCCCCCUCACUCCG
rnacentral:tRNA from 1 species